UACGAAGGGGGCUAGCGUUACUCGGAAUUACUGGGCGUAAAGCGUGCGUAGGUGGUUCGUUAAGUCUGUCGUGAAAGCCCCGGGCUCAACCUGGGAAUGGCGAUGGAUACUGGCGGGCUAGAGUGCGGUAGAGGAGAGUGGAAUUCCCGGUGUAGCAGUGAAAUGCGUAGAGAUCGGGAGGAACAUCAGUUGCGAAGGCGGCUCUCUGGACCAGCACUGACACUGAGGCACGAAGGCCAGGGGAGCAAACGGG
rnacentral:rRNA from 1 species